GAUGAACGCUGGCGGCGUGCUUAACACAUGCAAGUCGAACGGUGAAGGCGGAGCUUGCUCUGCUGGAUCAGUGGCGAACGGGUGAGUAACACGUGAGCAGUCUGCCCCUGACUCUGGGAUAAGCGCUGGAAACGGCGUCUAAUACUGGAUACGAGCUGCGAAGGCAUCUUCAGCAGCUGGAAAGAAUUUCGGUCAGGGAUGAGCUCGCGGCCUAUCAGCUUGUUGGUGAGGUAAUGGCUCACCAAGGCGUCGACGGGUAGCCGGCCUGAGAGGGUGACCGGCCACACUGGGACUGAGACACGGCCCAGACUCCUACGGGAGGCAGCAGUGGGGAAUAUUGCACAAUGGGCGAAAGCCUGAUGCAGCAACGCCGCGUGAGGGACGACGGCCUUCGGGUUGUAAACCUCUUUUAGCAGGGAAGAAGCGAAAGUGACGGUACCUGCAGAAAAAGCGCCGGCUAACUACGUG
rnacentral:rRNA from 1 species